rnacentral:rRNA from 1 species
CAGCCGCCACGGUAAUACGAAGGGGGCUAGCGUUGCUCGGAAUGACUGGGCGUAAAGGGCGCGUAGGCGGUUUUGACAGUCAGAUGUGAAAUUCCUGGGCUUAACCUGGGGGCUGCAUUUGAGACGUCAAGACUAGAGUGUGAGAGAGGGUUGUGGAAUUCCCAGUGUAGAGGUGAAAUUCGUAGAUAUUGGGAAGAACACCGGUGGCGAAGGCGGCAACCUGGCUCAUUACUGACGCUGAGGCGCGAAAGCGUGGGGAGCAAACAGGAUUAGAUACCCCCGUAGUCCCUGUCUCUUAUAC